AGUGUAUCUGUAUACCAAAUAUUUUAAUUUAAUUUUAAAUACAUGCUUUUCAAUAAAUUUGAAUUUUCCCCUUUGUACUUUACAUGACUGAUUUUUCCAUUUUAUUUUACAGAAGAACUUCAGCACAAGCUUGCACAUACUCUGGAUAGAAAUGAGCAUCUUCCAGCCACUGUGGGUGUGUUUAUUUUUUGUGCCCAAUAUUGUCUGUGUGUAUGUAUUUGUGUAUAUGUUUUUACCUGCAUCCCAAUACCUUAAACAUUACAUUCAGAUUUUUCAAAAAUUUGUUUUUUUUAUGUGUGUUUCCAUGGUAUUUACAUGAGUUUUUCCAUUUAAUUUUCAGAUGAUAUUUGUGGAAAAUUUGAUAAGUAUGAAGAAGAAAAAGAAGAACUUCAGCACAAAUUUGGUAAUACAUCCGUAAUAUCCUUGUAUGCCCAAAACACUUGAAAAUGAGUACAUUACUGAUAUUUUUAAAAUUUCCCGCCACCCCUCUGAUAUGCCAUUGAUUGCCUCACUUUUGUCUCGCAUAUCUACUCUUCUAACCUGAAUUGCUUGUGACUUCUCCCCUAUGUUCUCUUGUUUUGCUUUUUUUUUUCCAACAAUAGUAAUUUUACUUUUUAUUUCUUUUCAUUGACACAAUUCUAAAUUUGAGAAACUGCAAAUUCUUUUAACAGCGUGUAGAGGAGUUCUCUAUCUUAUGGAAAUUUCAAUGUCUCUACAUCUCUUAGUUCUGAAUUUUUAUGCAGAAAGCAUCAGAACUUAUUGUUUGCUUUAGGUUUCUUUCUUUAAGUUUCUUAAAGUUUGUUUCAUAAAACACCAAUAUAUCCAUUUAAAGAUUAAUAUCCUCUUUUUAAAUGACAUUUUAGUUAUUUUUUUAUUUAAAAGGAAACAACUUAAGGAUAUAUCUCUUUAAUUUAUGCAAUGGCUUCAGCCUUCAUGCAAUGGCUGCUACAGCUAGUGUUUUGUACAAAGGGUGUUGUUUUAUCUUUGUUUUGUUAUAUCUUUUUAACUAAUUGUUGUCUAUAAUGAGUCUGCGUUUCCAUUUCACUCUGAAAAGGUGAUCAAAGUAAGAUGUGGGGGUUCUUUGGCAUGAGUUAAAACAGAAACUUACCAAAAACAGGUCAUAGAAUUACCGUUUGAGGAAAAUGUGGCUAUAGGUGUCUGAGAAUCAACCCCUGAAUUUUCUAUGGAAGCAUGCAUUUGGUAUUCUCUACUUCACUGUGGAUGCUUUGUACAACAUAGCUAUAACAUUGAGGGAAUUAUGUCUUUUAUGUAGCAGCCAAAGAACUUAUUAAAAGCAACCAGCCGAAUACUGGUACCCCAAGAAAUGUCCAAAAGAUCAAGAAUGUUUUUAAUAGAUCACAGACACAACUAAUAGUCGAAAAUUUUGCAUAAGACGGUGAGUUUACUCCUUUUCUUCUAUUAAUUCUAACAAAUAUUCUCAGCUGCCAAACUCUGUUGGUACACACAGGUGUGUGUGUGUUUACCUACAUCCUGGUUCCUUUAAGGAUGCAUGUGAAAUUUUCACUGACUUUACAUUUCCCCUGUUUCUGUCCCAUGAAUUGAUAUGGAUCUUCCCAUUGUAUUUUUCAGAUGAUCUUCAGAAAAAAUGUGGUAAAUUUCCCUGAUAAUCUUUAUACUCCAAUAAACCUCUAAAGGGGGCUCAGCGGUAAAGAAUCUACCUGAAAUGCAGGAGAUCCCUGGAUCCCGGUUCGAUCCCUGAGUCUGGAAGAUCCCCUGGAGGAGGGCAUGGCAACCCACUCCAGUUUUCUCGCCUGCAGAAUCCCAUGGACAGAGGGCCUGGUGGGCUACUGUCCAUAGAGUCACAAAGAGUCAGACACAACUGAAGUGACUUAGUACUCACACACACGCAAACCUCUAAAGGAUCACUUUCUUUAAGCCUUUCACACUUCCUCUCUUGUUAUCUAUAUGCCAAUGUUGGCACCCCCUUAUCUUGGAUGUCAGCAUUUCUCUGCCAAUUAUUUGUUUAUAAAAUCACCCAUAUGAAAUUCUCUCCUCUUUACUUCCCCUACAAUUAAAUCUUGCCCAAUCUAAUUUUUUGUUCAUUUCAUAUAUCAUUUCUCUAUAAACAUAGUCUGCUUCUAUUAUGCAAAAUCUUGCCAGAGUUUCAUACGGAUUUUUGAGGUGAAGAGAAUGAGACUGAUGGGGACUUGGUUUUAUAAUAUAUAUAUAUAUAUAUAUAUAUAUAUAUAUAUAUAUAUAUAUAUAUAGGCUUCCCUGAUGGCUCAGACAGUAAAGAAACAGCCUGAGAUGCAGGAGACCUGGGUUUGAACCCUGGUUUGGGAAAGUCCCUGGAGAAGGGAAAGGCUACCCACUCCAGUAUUCUUGCCUGGAGAAUUCCAUGGACAGAGGAGCUUGGCGGGCUACAGUCCAAAGAGUGGGACACAACUGAGAACUAACACACACAUGUAUAUAUAUUCUGGGAAAUGGCUGUUAACUUACUAAAUCUCUUGUGUGUUUCUGGUUCAGGAGCCAUUGCCAUGCAAUUGAUACUUCUGUGAACCAUAUGAGAUGAUCUAUUCUACAAACUUGCUGAGUGACACAUUUCCAUCCAUUUUCCUUUAAAAGACUCUAUAAAUUCAAAUGCAAUUCAGUGAAUAAUUUGGGGCUUUAGGCUCACCUUCCACUGCUCUGAUCAUCUACUAGCAUAUUCUCUAGGUACACAUAUAUUUUGGAUACUGUUUCCUGAGUUUUAAUUAUUCCAUACCUCAGUAACUGUAAUGUCUUUUCAUCAGAUUAUUUGCACACAAUUAGGAAAAUCUGCAAGUACCUUAUGUGCUUGUAGAAGGAGCUUACAUAUUAAGGGGAGUUCAUCUAAAACAUAUUAGUCUAUUUUGAAAUUUCAUGCAAAGCCAUGAGAGACUACAGUUUUAGAAAACUCCUAAGAAAUGGUUUAUACUCACUACUAAAGCCAUUAAAAGUUCAACAUCCUUCUUUUGCUGAUAAUUCACAAUUAUAUUUUUGUUAAGAUUGAAUGGAAUUAAGAAAUUUAUCUCUUAAAUAUAGGGAACAGGCUUCAUAGGACUACUGCUACAGAUUUAGAUAGAUGGAUGCUUUCACUGAAGGUUUCCUCAUGACAUCUUAAGUACCUGAUUCAUGCAUAGGGGCAGGACUACAGUGUAUUCAGAAGAAAAAAGGAGGUCAGUGAAUGAGGAAUGAUUAUUAUUGUUCAAUCCAAAAGGAGCUCUGUUCCUCUUUCUCUCCUUGUGUCAUUGCCCAUAUAUAUAUAUUUUUUUCCAUUUUGCACCAAGAGUUGGUGGGAAUGGAAUACAACAUUGCCUCUGGUUGACCAAGUAUCCUUUGGAAAUCAGUGCUUCCAAUUCUCAAAAUAUUAGUCAUUUUGAACCAUGGGGUGAACUAAGAAAAGACUCCAAGUUGCCAAAAUAUAUUUAUUAUAAAGUAGUAAAAUUCUUUGUAUAAUUUUAUUUCAUUUUAUACCAAAGAAAUAGACUCCUUAAAAAUCUAUCAUCCUUCCUUUUUAAUGACAUUUCCCAGUUACAAUUUUAUUUUCAAAGGGAAUGAUGUUUAGGAUUAUAUUUCUUUCAUGCAUGUAGGUAUAUUAACAGGACCACUAUAAUAGAACCAAUGCAAUACCAAUGAUGCAUACUCUUUAUCCAGAGGAAGUCCUGUUCUACCUCCUCCUUUUGUGUAAUUUUUGUUUUCAGUUCCUUUUUCACCAGCAAGUAAACUGAAGUCAAUAAAACGUUCUUCCUAUGGGUGAAAAGGCCUUUGGAUGGUAUGGAGUCAAUUCUCAGAAAUGUCAGGUUGGGCCAUAGAGUAAAGUAUGGAAGUGUUUGAAAUGUUGGCCAUUGUCUCUUACUUACAUUGGGCUCUUUUUUGGGAUGAGUUCUUUUUCCUGUUAUUUUAUCAAUAAUUGUGAAAAGGAAAAUAGCAAGUCCUAUUCAUGUAUUUCUCUGUGAAUCUAGUUACGGUCUCAUUCUUUUCUCAUACCUUUGUCUUCAGGUAUGCUUUGGAGGGCUUCCCUGUUGUCUCAGACAGUAAAGAAUCAAACUCCAGUAUUGGAGACCUGGGUUCUCUCCCUGGGUUCAAAAGAUUCCCUGGAGAAGGGCAUGGCAACCCACUCUAGUAUUCUUGCCUAGAGAAUCCCCAUUGACAGAGGAGCCUGGAGGGCUACAGUUUAUAGGGUUGCAAAGACCAGGACACGACUGAGCGACUAAGCACAGCAAUGCUUUUGAAGUGGUGGAAUAUUCACAGAAAACUGUGAAAGUUUUGUCCAAUAUGUGCCCAAAAUAUUUGAUUUCAGCCCCCCACUACUUGUGUUCAUUGCUUCAUUUUCUUGUUUCACGUGAUCUAAUUAAGACGAGCUUCUUGUCAACAUGAAUUGUAAUAGAAACUCAUAAAAUAUGAGGUUAUAUUGUGGCAUCCAUUGACAAAAAUUGUUGUGAAUAGUUACCCAGCAAUUAAAAGCCUAUGGCUUCUCAAGGAGCAGUGGUUCAGGAUACUCUGAUUCAGUGUAUAUGGUGACCUUAUAUAAUGGAGCAACAAUAAAAUGACAAUUGACAAUAUAUUUGCUGCUGCUGCUGCUAAGUCGCUUCAGUUGUGUCCGACUCUGUGUGACCCCAUGGACUGCAGCCUACCAGGCUUCUCCGUCCAUGGGAUUCUCCAGGCAAUAACACUAGAGUGGGUUGCCAUUUCCUUCUCCAAUGCAUGGAAGUGGAAAGUGAAAGUGAAGUCACUCAGGCGUGUCCGACUCUUAGCGACCCCAUGGACUGCAGCCUACCAGGCUCCUCCAUCCAUGGGAUUUUCCAGGCAACAGUACUGGAGUGGGGUGCCAUUGCCUUCUCCCACAAUAUAUUUAGUAGCAGUCAAUAAACCUAUUAUAGCAAGCGUACUGAAUAAUUAAAGCCUGAAUCAUGUCAAGUGGCACUAUGAACAUGUGGAAAAGUUAACUACCAAAAAUAUUAUCCAAAAAAAAAAUUUUAUUGCUUCAGAAAAUUCUCUUAUUUUAUUCCUUUUACUCUCUCUCUCUCUUUUUUUUUUUUUUUUAGAAUAUACUCUGGGUAGAAGAGAGCAGCUUUUUUCAGCCACUGUGGAUAAUAUUUGUGAAAAACUUGGUAAGCUUCUCUGCAAAAUCUUUGUUCCUUUAACUCAUUAAGGACUACCCCAUUGGUGUCUAUAACAGUCCACACCCU
ensembl:lncRNA